AUCUAUUUUUUAAUUAUUUUUUUGCGAACGUGGAAUUUAAUAUGCAUUCUCUAGAUCCCGAGGGGUCGGGGUUACCAUAUCUCUCUCUCUUUCUCUCUGAUUUCUUUUGAAAUUCUCGUCUUUGAGAGAUUCUUUACGGAGAAGAGGAGGUUAUUAUGAUGAUUAUUUUUUGGUUUUAAUGGGCCUGGAUCUGGGUGUUAAAAGUUCUAGGGUUUUCAAUGUAACUUCUUGCUUGUUUUAAGCUUGGAAGCUGUUUGAUUUACUGGGAAAGACAAGAAAGUGAAUUGGGCUUUGCUCUUUUUAAUUAUUUUAUUUGGGCUAUUUGUUGAAUUGGAUGUCGAGACUGUGAAUUGGGGAUUUUGUUUCCAUCGAUUUCAAAUAUAUAGGGUUUAUAUUUUGAAUAUUUAUUUAUGAGGUAUGGGGGAGUGCUACUGGUACACGUUGUAAUUUGGAUACACAGUUAGAAGGAUUUAAAUAUAAAUCAAAAUAGUUUCUCAAA